UGCGUAGGGUGCGAGCGUUGUCCGGAAUUACUGGGCGUAAAGAGCUCGUAGGCGGUUUGUCGCGUCUGCUGUGAAAACUCGGGGCUUAACCCCGGGCCUGCAGUGGGUACGGGCAGACUAGAGUGCGGUAGGGGAGACUGGAAUUCCUGGUGUAGCGGUGAAAUGCGCAGAUAUCAGGAGGAACACCGGUGGCGAAGGCGGGUCUCUGGGCCGUAACUGACGCUGAGGAGCGAAAGCGUGGGGAGCGAACAGG
rnacentral:rRNA from 1 species